rnacentral:rRNA from 1 species
CUACGUGCCAGCAGCCGCGGUAAUACGUAGGUCCCGAGCGUUGUCCGGAUUUAUUGGGCGUAAAGCGAGCGCAGGCGGUUAGAUAAGUCUGAAGUUAAAGGCUGUGGCUUAACCAUAGUACGCUUUGGAAACUGUUUAACUUGAGUGCAAGAGGGGAGAGUGGAAUUCCAUGUGUAGCGGUGAAAUGCGUAGAUAUAUGGAGGAACACCGGUGGCGAAAGCGGCUCUCUGGCUUGUAACUGACGCUGAGGCUCGAAAGCGUGGGGAGCAAACAGGAUUAGAUACCCUGGUAGUCCACGCCGUAAACGAUGAGUGCUAGGUGUUAGACCCUUUCCGGGGUUUAGUGCCGCAGCUAACGCAUUAAGCACUCCGCCUGGGGAGUACGACCGCAAGGUUGAAACUCAAAGGAAUUGACGGGGGCCCGCACAAGCGGUGGAGCAUGUGGUUUAAUUCGAUGCAACGCGAAGAACCUUACCUACUCUUGAC